CAUAUGUGCAAGUGUUCGGGAUUCAAAUCCCAAGCGCGAAAUUAACGUAAAGGCAUGCUUAGGUAUGCUGAGAUAGGAAGCUUCGGCUGCACUAUCAACCGACCAUGAUCCUUCGAGAGAAAGGUUUGAGUGUGAGCAUAUAUGUUGGGACCCGAAAGAUGGUGAACUAUGCUUGAGUAGGACGAAGCCAGGGGAAACUCUGGUGGAGGUCCGUAGCGAUUCUAACGUGCAAAUUGAUCGUCGAACUUGAGUAUAGGGGCGAAAGACUAAUCGAACCAUCUAGUAGCUGGUUCCUCCCGAAAUUUCCCUUAGGAUAGCUGCAACCGAACAGUUUUAUCAGGUAAAGCGAAUGAUUAGAGGCAUCAGGGAUGAAAAUGUCCUUGACCUAUUCUCAAACUUUAAAUGGGUAAGAGCCCUGAGUUGCUUAAGUGAACUCGGCGGUC
rnacentral:rRNA from 1 species